AUUCCUGUAGGAGGAGUCCUCUUCAGCCACCCAUUCACUCCCAGAACUGGAUGGCUCAGGCACAUUUUAGGAAUGUAUUUAUUUUUCCACCCUGGAUGAAGAGGAAACCACUGUGGAUGUUAACCAGAAACAUUUGCUCCCUGGUCUAUUACCUGUGACUUUUGGGUUGCCAGUGGUUGUGGCAGGCCAGCUCUAGCCUUAUGUCCUCCCAUCUACAGAUAAAAGGAAGGUUCAUACAAGAACUCUUGUGCCAUUACUGGCUGAACAGCACCUUUAAGAGUCCUCUGAAGCCUGGAAAGCAGGUCACUGGGUGCUGCUGACAAAGCCGGCAUGAUUUCCAGAUAAUGACUGCUUUGAAGAAGAUAAGUUUUGCUUUGGAAUUGUAGAAGACAUACAGAUAAAGGAUACAGACCAACUUGAGUGCAAUCUACCUUUAACAGAUGACAGCAGGAUUUCAUGAACGAUUUCUGUCUCAAGGCGACUGCCCCUUCUCCAGAACCAGCAAGUGGCAAUAGCAUUUUAAAGGAAGGAUGUCAGAGAGCAGCUUGCUUUUCUCACUUGUCAUCGUUAUUUGUUUCUCUCCUGGCCGAACCACCAGAAGCAGGUUAAGGAUGACACAAACGAGCAACAAAUCACAGGGUGGAGGACAGAGCAUGUGACAAUGCCCUGGCUGUGGUGCAAACAUUUGAGCUACGUUUCGAAAGCCUGGAUUUGUGUUUAGUAGAGUUCAUGAGUGAAAAAUAAGAGUCUUUGACGAUAACAAUCAACAAGCUCAAUCUCAUUAGCAUCUACCCUUCAGAGAAGAGGCUGGAGCGGAUCCCAUCAAGCUGUGAUUUGGUUCAGUGCACUAGGGAAGGUUCCUAGAAGCAUUCCCCCAGCUUCUUCACACUGUGCACUGAGGGGAAAAAAACAACAUUUGGCAAUUUGUUGUCAAUAUUUGUAUAACUCCUGAUGCCACUAAAACUGCAUAUGUAGGCUUUAAACUAACAAAAACAAAGCCAUGGCCAAGCUGGAGAGCUGGAUUUGUUUCCAUGCGCAAUUAGGUUUAUUUGUUUAGGUCUCAUUUUAUUUGCUUUCAGAUGACUCAGAUAGGAGUAUUGCAAUCCUUUCAAAGUGAAGUAGUGUUCUGUGUAUUUUGGGCAUUGGGCUAAGCCAAAUGUGGAAAAAAUUGGCUGCUCAAUAGUAUUUUCCUAUCCAGAGGUUUUUCAAACUUUUGAGAGGAACUGAAGGAAUGUACCUUCCAUGCCAGGACUCCCCCCUGUCCCCCACCCCCUUCACAGCGUCUCUCCACAUUAUUGUAAAAGAGCACAGGAAUUUUAAAACACUCCUCUGUUGUGCAACUGUUAGCAACUGCUCUUAUUAAUUACCUUACUAUUAUGCUGCAUGCUUAAAUUCUCACUGGUGUCAUCCAUAGCGUGCUGUUGAGAGUGCCUUUUAACCCAUUUAAAUAAGAAUAUGUGGAUGGUGCACUGCUCAGAAUCUCCCAUCCUGCUAGACCAGCUCUGGGGUUGCUGAAAAUUAUUUCCUUUAUACAUGAAGGAUAUUUACGUUUUGGCAAGUAGCCACGUUUUCUGCUGGGAGUUAGUCACUAACGACAGCUUAUUUUCCAGUGGAAAUGCUUGCACGCUAUCGGUGUUAAGAGAAUUGUCUCAAGUCUCAGUGCCAUGGUGAUCCUUUAUCCUCCACCUUCAACCUGCAAAAAACAAAACAAAACAGGGUUUUUUCUUGUCUCUUCUUCUGUCUUAUAUGACUAGGAGCCAGUGGCUUUUAAUUAGUGCCUUAGGCACCACUGUGUUUUGGGGGGCACUUUUUUGUUGUCUUUGUUUUCUUCUUCUGAUCAUUUUGCUUCUAGAAAUGCCUUCUUGUGUGAUGUUUCAGAAAAUGUAGACAGGAAGAAUAAAUCUACAUUUAUUCUUAUUUCCAUGAAAUAAAAAGGUUAAAGGAUUUUCUGCACUCACCAGAAGUAUGAGUCUGAUUUAUGGCCUUCUUCCCACUCACACUCAUAAAAGAAAUAGAGUAACAAAGGCUAAUAGACAAUCUAUUUUAAAGUUUGUCCUGAUAAAACCAAACUGGAACUUUAUUCAGUCUUAAAUGUCAAUUCUAAAAUUUGGAAUGUUUUUCUAAUCAAGAACAAUAAAUGUGGAAAGUGUCUUUGUGGAAUGGAGCUGCUGCUCAGCACACUGCUGGCCCAAUGCUGCACACACACUUCAGGGGCAGAUGGAGUCUGCACAUCACGUAGUCCUCCCUGUGCAAUAGCUUGCUCUGGAGACUGCUUGGCCCCAGGAGGGACUGGGCAAUGCUUAGGAUAUGUUAUUUGUUGUUUUAUUUUACUUUUAAGAGGACAGGAACCCAAAAUAUACCUAUGAAAAAUGACCAAAUUGAGAUGGGAUGUAAAUCUUCAAAUACAGUAAAGAAAAAAAAAAGCUAUAAAUUUCCAAGCCUGUGCUAAAAACUGGAAGUAAUAAGGUUGGAAAAUAGA